rnacentral:rRNA from 1 species
UACGGAGGGUGCAAACGUUGCUCGGAAUCAUUGGGCGUAAAGCGCACGUAGGCGGCCUGACAAGUCGGGUGUGAAAGCCCUGGGCUCAACCCAGGAAGUGCACUCGAAACUGCCAGGCUUGAAUAUGGAAGAGGGUCGCGGAAUUCCCGGUGUAGAGGUGAAAUUCGUAGAUAUCGGGAGGAACACCAGUGGCGAAGGCGGCGACCUGGGCCAAUAUUGACGCUGAGGAGCGAAAGCGUGGGGAGCGAACAGG